CCUACGGGUGGCUGCAGUGGGGAAUAUUGGACAAUGGGGGGAACCCUGAUCCAGCCAUGCCGCGUGUGUGAAGAAGGCCCUCGGGUUGUAAAGCACUUUCAGUGAGGAAGAACGCCUGGUGGUUAAUACCCAUCAGGAAAGACAUCACUCACAGAAGAAGCACCGGCUAACUCCGUGCCAGCAGCCGCGGUAAUACGGAGGGUGCGAGCGUUAAUCGGAAUUACUGGGCGUAAAGCGCGCGUAGGUGGCUUGAUAAGCCGGUUGUGAAAGCCCCGGGCUCAACCUGGGAACGGCAUCCGGAGCUGUCAAGCUAGAGUGCAGGAGAGGAAGGUAGAAUUCCCGGUGUAGCGGUGAAAUGCGUAGAGAUCGGGAGGAAUACCCGUGGCGAAGGCGGCCUUCUGGACUGACACUGACACUGAGGUGCGAAAGCGUGGGUAGCAAACAGGAUUAGAUACCCCAGUAGUC
rnacentral:rRNA from 1 species